UUUCCUGCGUCAUAAAUGAUCGUUGCGCUCCUUCGUCGAAAAGGAUGUGAGCGUCGGCGCACUGAUUCUGUGACCAUAUUGGAGCGAUUGCCGUUUUUAAGAAGACGGUAGAAUUUUCCUGUUUAGCAGAUGUAUGCAUGAUUGGCGUGCCAUUUUCUGUAUUACUUGUAAUAUUCUGACUCUGUGAUUUUUGAAUUGAAGAUUCAUUGCAUAAACUUGUAUGAUGCUUACGUUGACAUUUACGGCAUGUGUUUUUCGACCUACAUUCUGAUAUUUUAUGGUUACCCAAACAAUUGAAACAUAGGUUUCUCUUCUUAACAAUCUCCAUUCUUGAUUUGCUGUCGGUGAACUUUUUACAUUCUGUAGGGAAAUGUUGAUCAUUGCAAUAAAUGCACGUUUUACUUGGAGAAUAGUUUUUAGAUUUUGAUUUAUUUACGUAAUUUCCAUUUUUCUUACCAAUUCCGG
rnacentral:lncRNA from 1 species